ACACCUCAACUCUCACGGUUCGCCCGUGAUGAGCUUGGACUUCUGGAGGUUUUGCUGGCUUGCGGUCGGCUCCUCUCAAAUGGAUCAGCUUACCAGUGUUUGGUGGCAUCAUGGGUGUGAUAACUAUCUACGCUUGUGGUCGUCUGCCAGGUAACCUUCAGCGAUGGGGGUUUGCUGGGGCUUACAAAUGUCUCUCCUCAGCGAAGACAGCUUUUGAAC
rnacentral:misc_RNA from 1 species